UGAGUCAGCCAUCUUGAUUGUAAGCGUGGUUUCGAGUAAUUUUUUUUCAGGUGAUCGUAUCACGAGUUAGUUCCCCUCACACAAGCCAAAACGUUCAGACCCAGCUUGUGUUAUAAGUGCAGCUUGUGCAAGAGCUUCUACGUUCGUUCGUACAAUAUUUUACUGCGUGAAUCUUCGGUACGGGUUGUACCACUCUGAAAGGAGUUAUUGCACUCUCACAAGCCAACAACUAUCGGCUUGAUCUAUCGGUGCGGGUUGCACCACUGAGUGUCCGAAAGUGUUUUAAAGUGUCUGAAGCCACCUGAAAGUGCCAGAAAGUGAAAUAAGUUGUAUUGCAGUUGCUUUCUCCUUGCACUGUUGGGAAUUCACGGAGGCAUAUCUCAAAACGAAAAUGCAGGCAAAUGAUGUAGAGGAAAAUCCAGGCCCUACAAUAUUUGAUGUCAUAGAUCCAACAAGAACAAUAUGUGCUGACUACAGUCAAAGAAAUGAAGCUCUCUUUGGCGAAAAUGCUGAAAUAAAAGAAACUAAACACAACAUAUGAAAAGGAAGCAAAAGUCUUUAACUGAAACACCAGAAGAAAAAGAAAAACAAUUGAUUGCUAGACAUGAAUAUGAGAAACGAAGAAGGGUAAAUGGAAGUGAGGAAUCUAGGGAAAAGAGGCUGGCCCAGCAGCUUUUGAACAGGGAAAAGAAACGUGCAAAUUAAUCUUCUGAAUCAAGAAAAAAGAGGCUGGCAACCCAAUCUCAGUAUCAGAGACAAAAAAUUGCAAUUGAAUCAGCAGAAUGUAGAGAGAGGAGACUGUUAAACCAACACCAAUAUCAGAAUGAAACUAGAUGCAUAAUUGUGUUCACCUAGGCUUUCUGUUGGAAAUAAACUUUGUUUUUUGUGCUAGCAUUUGCCUAAGUUUUUAUG